AAGACCUUGCGCUUUUGGAGCGGCCGAUGCCUGAUUAGCUUGUUGGUAAGGUAAAAGCUUACCAAGGCUUCGAUCAGUAGCUGGUCUGAGAGGACGGCCAGCCACACUGGGACUGAGACACGGCCCAGACUCCUACGGGAGGCAGCAGUGGGGAAUUUUGGACAAUGGGGGCAACCCUGAUCCAGCCAUGCCGCGUGGGUGAAGAAGGCCUUCGGGUUGUAAAGCUCUUUCAGCCGGAACGAAACGGUUACGGUUAAUACCCGUGAUUACUGACGGUACCGGAAGAAGAAGCACCGGCUAACUACGUGCCAGCAGCCGCGGUAAUACGUAGGGUGCGAGCGUUAAUCGGAAUUACUGGGCGUAAAGCGUGCGCAGGUGGUUUUGUAAGUCAGAUGUGAAAGCCCCGGGCUCAACCUGGGAACU
rnacentral:rRNA from 1 species